ensembl:lncRNA
AUGCUAAUUCAUUUUGCUUUCAAGUUCCUUCUACAUCUGUACAUCAGCUCAUUUCAAGUUCCUUCUACAUCUGUACAUCAGCUCAUUUCAAGUUCCUUCUACAUCUGUACAUCAGCUCAUUUCAAGUUCCUUCUUCCCUCUACAUCUGUACAUCAGCUCAUUUCAAGUUCCUUCUACAUCUGUACAUCAGCUCAUUUCAAGUUCCUUCUACAUCUGUACAUCAGCUCAUUUCAAGUUCCUUCUACAUCUGUACAUCAGCUCAUUUCUAAAUAUUAUAUCUGAUUGUUGUCUCCAUGUCUUCUAAACUUUAGUUUGGACCCUUAUAAAUGUACUUUUUGUAACCGAAUACAGUUCAGGUACCAUUAACAGUUUUGAAUGGGUCGGCCUCUAAGUAGCCUAUGUAAAACAAGUGCUCUUGUUUAGAUUUUUUUUUAAAUAAAAAAAAUGUAUUACUUUUUAUUUUCUUACUUUAUCCAUGCAUUUCUCCAUAUAAUUUGUAGGUUUUUCUCUGUUCAAGCUGUUGCACUACUUUGCUCAUUUAUAUUUGCUGUAUGACUUUCCUCUAUCAAUAAUUAUUCUGUUUGAUAUACUUUUUGCAUUCAUUAUCAUUUAAAAAUAUAUAUAUAUAUUUUGUAUUUAACUAGUCAAGUCAGUUAAGAACAAAUUAUUAUUUACAAUGAUGGCCUACACUGGCCAAACCCGGACAACACUGGACCAAUUGUGUACCGCACUAUGGGACUCCCAAUCACAGCCGGUUGUGAUACAGCUUGGAUUGGAACCAGGGUGUCUGUAGUGACGCCUCUAGCACUGAGAUGCAGUGUCUUCGACCACGGGAUUAGUUGACCUGAAAGGUCUUUAAGUGAAGUUAGCACUGUACUCUGGAACCUGUCGUGUUGUAGGGUCUGGGCCUUCAAAGACCAGAACUGACUAUAGCCAUGGCUGUAAUAAAAAUACAUGUAUUGUACAAGACCUAAUUGUAAUGUACCAAAUGAAUUUACGAUGUGAAAAUAUUUCAUGAGGAUACACUUGUAGGUCACCUUCAAUUUACUCUCAGGAUAGUAUUGUCUUUCCACAGGAAACACAGAACCAUCUGGGCACGAUAACAUAAUGGGUGAUGUAACGGCAGAUGUGAAGUUUAUCCUCAUAACAAUUUUCUUUGUUUUAGCUAAACUCUCUUGAUGGAGGCAAAAAUCAAUACAGUUCCAUGUCUUAAUAUAAUUUUUAAAACCAUAUUAUAUUGAUAUUUGACUCCCAAGUAUCGAUUAAAAAAAUAUGUUUUUAAAAGUCUACGUAGCAUUAGCUAGCGCUAGUCGGCUGUAACUGCGCCAAAACUCCUGUAUUUUUCAUCCUAAAGCUUGGCUUCAAUCUUCUUUUUAAAUAGUGAGCCAAUAUGUUUUCAGCACCUUUAUUUCCAUGACUGAUCCCCCAGAAAUUUGACAUGCUCUGUCUUGUCUCUCUGCAGCAGACAUACUGUAUAGUGAGCAAUAUGUUUGGAACAUUAAAUCGCAAUAAAAUCACAGUAUCGCAUAAAAUCAUGAGAAUUGCAAUACAUAUCAUAUCGGCACCUAAGUAUUGUGAUGAUAUCAUAUCAUGAGGUCUCUGGCAAUUCCCAGCGGUAGUAAGCUUGUGUUUGCACAAAAUCACUGAAAAUAAAAUACUUAAAAAAUCAAAUGAAUGUUAGACAAUGUAAUACUUUUCAUAUACAUGUAACACUGAAAUAUUAAGGUCAAAACACCCCACUCGUGUAGCCCUAUUGCAAAAGUUCAGUCAGCCAUGAUAGUAUACGUUCAGUCAGCUAUGAUGGUAUACGUUCAGCCAGCCAUGAUGGUAUACGUUCAGUCAGCCAUGAUGGCAUACGUUCAGUCAGCCAUGAUGGUAUACAUUCAGCCAGCCAUGAUGGUAUACGUUCAGCCAGCCAUGAUGGUAUACGUUCAGCCAGCCAUGAUGGUAUACGUUCAGUCAGCCAUGAUGGUAUACGUUCANUUCAGUCAGCCAUGAUGGUAUACGUUCAGUCAGCCAUGAUGGUAUACGUUCAGUCAGCCAUGAUGGUAUACGUUCAGCCAGCCAUGAUGGUAUACGUUCAGUCAGCCAUGAUGGUAUACGUUCAGCCAGCCAUGAUGGUAUACGUUCAGCCAGCCAUGAAUAUCUUCAUAGAAGUAUGUUGUCGUCUGUAUUCAAGGCUGUCAACAAGACACUGUUCGAAUACAGUGGUCUAAAAUCUAUGUACAUCUAGGAUAAGGCAGAUAUGGAGACUAAAUUGUAAUUACACAGAAAAGGCUACAAGAGUGUUCAAGACGAUGUAUAGAUACAUAUUUGGUCACCUUUAAGUUGUUGAUGACAAGAAUACAGAUUUUCCCUUCCUCAUAUUCUUAGUGUGGUCUUUGUUUUGUAUAUAACAGUGUUUCCCCUAGGACAUAUCCUGUCUUGUAUAGUUUUAGGACACAAAAGAUGCCAGAGAAUGAUUUAAUAUGAAAAUAAAUAUUAUUGAUAUUAUGGCUAUUGGAUGUCAUAUGCCUUAUGAGGAUUCAACGUUAAGGCUUCAGCCAUACAUUACAUGGGGUAAUCUGCAAAUUAUAAUUAAAGAUGCACUAUGCAGAAAUCGCUCCGUCAUUUCCUGGUUGCUAAAAUUCUAAUUGUUCUCCUAUUCAGGAAAAACAAGCACUGUACCAAAACCAUUGUACCAUCUAAACAGCUGAACUAUAUUUUCCAUAAUGAACGUUUUUAUAUUUUCAGCUGUUUGAAGCUGGUGUACAAAACCGAAAGUAAAAGACACAAAAAAUAAACUUAAGAACGGGAAGCAUCUAAAUAGCGCACCUAGAACCAAUCUACUGCUUCUUAGAUUUGCUUUCAAUGAGAAUGACAGAUCUAUAAUCCACUUUUCUAUGUGAUUUUUCUGGGGGGUUACCCAAAAGGUUACAUACAUAUUGCAGCUUUAAUAUAAAAUUGAAACAGUACCUACUGACCUUGGAACCGGUAUCACGACUCUUGGCUCUCAUCUUGUUGACCUGAGUCUCAGCAAUAUCAGCCCUCUCCUCUGCCUCAUCCAGGUCGUACUGAAUCUUGCAGAACUUUCCCAAAUUGGAAUUGGCUUGAAAAAUAUGAAUGAUUUAAUCUUUAGCAAACACAACAUUUCGUAGGUUACAGAUACAUCAGUUAAUCAGGGGUCCCUUUUCCCCCUAGGGACCCAUAUUUUUUAAGUUGCACUAUGCUCCGCCAUUUCCUUGUUGCUAAAAUUCUAAUAGUUUACCUAAUUUCAGUUUAUGUGAUAAAAUAGUAUAAAAUCAUUGUACCAUCUAAACCGCUGUGAAGUAUAUUUUCCAUAACCAAAAAUAUUGCUGUUUCAGCUGUUUGAAGUAGAAAACUGAAUGCAAAAGACCAAAAAACAAAACUUAAGAACGGGAAGCAUAGAAAUAGCUUACAUAGAACAGAUCUACUGCUUCUUAGACUUUCAAGCAGAAUGAUAGAUCUAUAAAAAUGUGAAUUUGGUCAGGUCGGGGGAAAAAGUUACAUAUUUCCACUUUAAGACCAACUGAAGAUAUCCCCAUGUGCAGCAGGGUAGCGUGUUUUUUUGGGNNNNNNNNNNNNNNNNNNNNNNCUGCGACCCCCCUCCCCCCCAUCAGGAAACUUUGGUGCCCCCCUGUGGGGGCCACAUUUACAUUUUAGUAAUUUAGCAGCCCUGGGUUAGGAACCACUGAGUUAUAUGAUGAAAGGUUUUCCAAUCAAUGUUUGAUUUAAUUGAGAUUUCAGCAGGCAGGUCAUUACUUACGUAGAUCAUCCAGGCUGUGUACAGUAGAUCUCUCUGAGGUUAAACAGCUCAGCGGGCUCGUGCAGGAAGGUGAACAUCGCCAUUAUCAAACUAUGGCGGGUUCUAGGAGUGGCAGUCAAUCUCCUUCACAGUAACAUUCUAAAAGAAGAGUAAAUUAUGUUUCCACAGUUUAUGUUGUCUCCAGCUUUAGCCACCUAUUUAAAUUAUAUUAUCAAUUCAAUCAACAAUGUUUUGUUUCAUUUUUAAAAGUGCAUAACAUAUUAUACGGUGCCUUCAGAAAGGAUUCAAACUCUUGAGUUAUUCCACAUUUUGUUGUUUUACAGCCUGAAUUCAAAAUUGAUUACAUUUUUUUCUCUCACUCAUCUACACAGAAUUCCCCGUAAUGACAAAGUGAAAAUGUGUAUAUCUAAUUUACAUAAGUAUUCACACCUGAGUCAAUACACGUUAGAAUCACCUCUGACAGUUAUUACAGCUGUGAGUCUUUCUGGCUAAAUCUAAGAUCUUUGCACACCUGGAUUGUAUAAUAUUUGCAUUAUUCUUUUUACAUUUCUUUAAGCUCUGUCAAGUUGGUUGUUGAUCAUUGCUAGACAGUCAUUUUUAAGUCUUGUCAUAGAUUUAUAAGCCGAUUUAAGUCAAAACUGUAACUAGGCAACUCAGGAACAUUCAAUGUCGUCUUGGUAAGCAACUCCAGUAUAUAUUUGACCUUUUGUUUUAGGUGUGUUGUGUUGGGUUUGCCCCAAAUAUAACGUUUUGUAUUCAGGACAUAAAGUUCAUUUCUUUGCAGUUUUACUUUAGUGCCUUUAUUGCAAACAAGAUGCAUGUUUCGGAAUAUUCUU